GGUGACUGAUUUCUCUAUAGUAAUAGGUAAGCUUCAGAAAACAACUUUAAUUGUUGUUGUUUAAAUGUUGUCAGUAUGUCACAGUUCAUGUGAUGUGUGUACAGAAAGGAUUUUUUAUGUAAUUAAUGUAAUGUAAUUUAAGGUGAUAUACAGACAUUUUUGUAAGGAUACUGAAAUGUAUUUUCUUGUAUUGAUGCAGUAAUUGUUUAUCUUAAUAAUAAUGAUUGUUGAUAUUCAGUCACUGCUGGAUGUGUGCUGCCUCUCAUCAUCAUUGCUGCUAUAAUGGGAGUCAUUGUGUGGAUGAAGUCCAGUCAGGUUAAAAGACUUUUAAGAGGUUAUUUGAGAGGCAGAACCACAGAUACUGACCCAGUGUCAGAUCAACAAAUGCAGAAGUAUCCCUCUUCUCAUUCUAUGGACCAACCUAUAGAGUUUUGAUAAGUUUUAUUUUGUUUAGAUUUUAGCCAUGUGUGUUGACUGUAUGUAUUGUGAGCUGCAGAUCCAGUUAAACUGAAAGUUGCACUUGACAUUUGUUAGAUAAAUAUAAUCCCUCUAUAUUCUGACAUUCACAACCGGAUCAAUAUGCAGUUUCUUACAGCCCCUGGAGAACCAAAUAC